GACGAACGCUGGCGGCGUGCUUAACACAUGCAAGUCGAACGGAAAGGCCCUGCUUUUGUGGGGUGCUCGAGUGGCGAACGGGUGAGUAACACGUGAGUAACCUGCCCUUGACUUUGGGAUAACUUCAGGAAACUGGGGCUAAUACCGGAUAGGAGCUCCUGCUGCAUGGUGGGGGUUGGAAAGUUUCGGCGGUUGGGGAUGGACUCGCGGCUUAUCAGCUUGUUGGUGGGGUAGUGGCUUACCAAGGCUUUGACGGGUAGCCGGCCUGAGAGGGCGACCGGCCACAUUGGGACUGAGAUACGGCCCAGACUCCUACGGGAGGCAGCAGUGGGGAAUAUUGCACAAUGGGCGGAAGCCUGAUGCAGCAACGCCGCGUGCGGGAUGACGGCCUUCGGGUUGUAAACCGCUUUCGCCUGUGACGAAGCGUGAGUGACGGUAAUGGGUAAAGAAGCACCGGCUAACUACGUGCCAGCAGCCGCGGUGAUACGUAGGGUGCGAGCGUUGUCCGGAUUUAUUGGGCGUAAAGGGCUCGUAGGUGGUUGAUCGCGUCGGAAGUGUAAUCUUGGGGCUUAACCCUGAGCGUGCUUUCGAUACGGGUUGACUUGAGGAAGGUAGGGGAGAAUGGAAUUCCUGGUGGAGCGGUGGAAUGCGCAGAUAUCAGGAGGAACACCAGUGGCGAAGGCGGUUCUCUGGGCCUUUCCUGACGCUGAGGAGCGAGAGCGUGGGGAGCGAACAGGCUUAGAUACCCUGGUAGUCCACGCUGUAAACGGUGGGUACUAGGUGUGGGGUCCAUUCCACGGGUUCCGUGCCGUAGCUAACGCUUUAAGUACCCCGCCUGGGGAGUACGGCCGCAAGGCUAAAACUCAAAGGAAUUGACGGGGCCCCGCACAAGCGGCGGAGCAUGCGGAUUAAUUCGAUGCAACGCGUAGAACCUUACCUGGGUUUGACAUGGAUCGGGAGCGCUCAGAGAUGGGUGUGCCUCUUUUGGGGUCGGUUCACAGGUGGUGCAUGGCUGUCGUCAGCUCGUGUCGUGAGAUGUUGGGUUAAGUCCCGCAACGAGCGCAACCCUUGUUCACUGUUGCCAGCACGUUAUGGUGGGGACUCAGUGGAGACCGCCGGGGUCAACUCGGAGGAAGGUGGGGAUGACGUCAAGUCAUCAUGCCCCUUAUGUCCAGGGCUUCACGCAUGCUACAAUGGCUGGUACAGAGAGUGGCGAGCCUGUGAGGGUGAGCGAAUCUCGGAAAGCCGGUCUCAGUUCGGAUUGGGGUCUGCAACUCGACCUCAUGAAGUCGGAGUCGCUAGUAAUCGCAGAUCAGCAACGCUGCGGUGAAUACGUUCCCGGGGCU
rnacentral:rRNA from 1 species